rnacentral:rRNA from 1 species
CAGCCGCCGCGGUAAUACCGGCGGCCCGAGUGGUGGCCGCUAUUAUUGGGCCUAAAGCGUCCGUAGCCGGGCCCGUAAGUCCCUGGCGAAAUCCCACGGCUCAACCGUGGGGCUUGCUGGGGAUACUGCGGGCCUUGGGACCGGGAGAGGCGGGGGGGACCCCUGGGGGAGGGGGGGAAUACUAUAAUCCCCGGGGGACCGCCAGUGGCGAAGGCGCCCCGCUGGAACGGGUCCGACGGUGAGGGACGAAGGCCAGGGGAGCAAACCGGAUUAGAUACCCGGGUAGUCCUGGCUGUAAAGGAUGCGGGCUAGGUGUCGGGUGAGCUUCGAGCUCGCCCGGUGCCGUAGGGAAGCCGUUAAGCCCGCCGCCUGGGGAGUACGGCCGCAAGGCUGAAACUUAAAGGAAUUGGCGGG